AAGGGUAUAACUUAAAGGUAAAGUAAAUGUCUUCAACACAUUUAAUAGUAGUUCGAUUCUGCUUACCCUUG
rnacentral:tRNA from 2 species